UACAGAGGUCUCAAGCGUUGUUCGGAUUCAUUGGGCGUAAAGGGUGCGUAGGCGGCGCGGUAAGUCGGGUGUGAAAUCUCGGGGCUUAACUCCGAAACUGCAUUCGAUACUGCCGUGCUUGAGGACUGGAGAGGAGACUGGAAUUUACGGUGUAGCGGUGAAAUGCGUAGAUAUCGUAAGGAAGACCAGUGGCGAAGGCGGGUCUCUGGACAGUUCC
rnacentral:rRNA from 1 species